rnacentral:rRNA from 1 species
UGCCAGCCGCCGCGGUAAUACGGAGGGUGUAAGCGUUGUCCGGAUUUAUUGGGUUUAAAGGGUGCGUAGGCGGUCUAUUAAGUCAGUGGUGAAAGUCUGCGGCUCAACCGUAGAAGUGCCAUUGAAACUGGUAGACUUGAGUACCGUUGAGGUAUGCGGAAUUUAUGGUGUAGCGGUGAAAUGCGUAGAGAUUGGAAAGAACACCGAUGGCGAAGGCACUUUACUGGGCUAUUACUGACACUCAGAGACGAAAGCUUGGGUAGCGAACGGGAUUAGAUA